rnacentral:rRNA from 1 species
AGUCGAGCGAGCUUGCCUAGAUGAUUUUAGUGCUUGCACUAAAUGAAACUAGAUACAAGCGAGCGGCGGACGGGUGAGUAACACGUGGGUAACCUGCCCAAGAGACUGGGAUAACACCUGGAAACAGAUGCUAAUACCGGAUAACAACACUAGACGCAUGUCUAGAGUUUGAAAGAUGGUUCUGCUAUCACUCUUGGAUGGACCUGCGGUGCAUUAGCUAGUUGGUAAGGUAACGGCUUACCAAGGCAAUGAUGCAUAGCCGAGUUGAGAGACUGAUCGGCCACAUUGGGACUGAGACACGGCCCAAACUCCUACGGGAGGCAGCAGUAGGGAAUCUUCCACAAUGGACGAAAGUCUGAUGGAGCAACGCCGCGUGAGUGAAGAAGGGUUUCGGCUCGUAAAGCUCUGUUGGUAGUGAAGAAAGAUAGAGGUAGUAACUGGCCUUUAUUUGACGGUAAUUACUUAGAAAGUCACGGCUAACUACGUGCCAGCAGCCGCGGUAAUACGUAGGUGGCAAGCGUUGUCCGGAUUUAUUGGGCGUAAAGCGAGUGCAGGCGGUUCAAUAAGUCUGAUGUGAAAGCCUUCGGCUCAACCGGAGAAUUGCAUCAGAAACUGUUGAACUUGAGUGCAGAAGAGGAGAGUGGAACUCCAUGUGUAGCGGUGGAAUGCGUAGAUAUAUGGAAGAACACCAGUGGCGAAGGCGGCUCUCUGGUCUGCAACUGACGCUGAGGCUCGAAAGCAUGGGUA